UACGUAGGGGGCAAGCGUUGUCCGGAUUUAUUGGGCGUAAAGAGCGUGUAGGCGGCUAGAUAGGUCCGUUGUGAAAACUCGAGGCUCAACCUCGAGACGUCGAUGGAAACCAUCUGGCUAGAGUCCGGAAGAGGAGAGUGGAAUUCCUGGUGUAGCGGUGAAAUGCGCAGAUAUCAGGAAGAACACCCGUGGCGAAGGCGGCUCUCGUGGUACGUGACUGACGCUGAGACGCGAAAGCGUGGGGAGCAAACAGG
rnacentral:rRNA from 1 species